rnacentral:rRNA from 1 species
GAUGAACGCUGGCGGCGUGCCUAACACAUGCAAGUCGAGCGGAGUCAGUAAGAGGAAGUUUUCGGAUGGAAUCUUAUUGAUUUAGCGGCGGACGGGUGAGUAACACGUGAGCGACCAACCUUGCACAGGGGGAUAACGGACCGAAAGGUUCACUAAUACCGCAUGAGACCACGGUGUUGCAUGACACAGGGGUCAAAGGAGCAAUCCGGUGCAAGACGGGCUCGCGUCCGAUUAGGUAGUUGGAGGGGUAACGGCCCACCAAGCCUAUGAUCGGUAGCCGAACCGAGAGGGUGAUCGGCCACAUUGGAACUGAGAGACGGUCCAAACUCCUACGGGAGGCAGCAGUGGGGAAUAUUGGGCAAUGGGGGAAACCCUGACCCAGCAACGCCGCGUGAAGGAAGAAGGUUUUCGGAUUGUAAACUUCUGUCCUUGGUGAAGAGAAGAAGACGGUAGCCAAGGAGGAAGCCCCGGCUAACUACGUGCCAGCCGCCGCAGUAAUAC